ensembl:lncRNA
GUGUGAGACUGUAAUGAUGGGAGGGGUAGAGUAGGGGAUGUGAGACUGUAUGAUGGGAGGGGUAGAGUAGGGGGUGUGAGACUGUAAUGAUGGGAGGGGUAGAGUAGGGGAUGUGAGACUGUAUGAUGGGAGGGGUAGAGUAGGGGGUGUGAGACUGUAUGAUGGGAGGGGUAGAAGUAGGGGGGUGAGACUGUAUGAUGGGAGGGGUAGAGUAGGCGGUGUGAGACUGUAUGAUGGGAGGGGUAGAGUAGGGGGUGUGAGACUGUAAUGAUGGGAGGGGUAGAGUAGGGGGGGGUGUGAUACUGUAUGAUGGGAGGGGUAGAGUAGGGGGGGUGUGAUACUGUAUGAUGGGAGGGGUAGAGUAGGGGGUGUGAUACUGUCUGAUGGGAGGGGGAGAAUAGAGGGUGUGAUACUGUAUGAUAGGAGGGGUAGAGUAGAGGGUGUGAGACUAUGAUAGGAGGGGUAGAGUAGAGGGUGUGAUACUGUCUGAUGGGAGGGGU